GAAACCAGGCUACUUAAUAUUCAACCCACAACUCAUAGGUGAAACCAGGCUACUUAAUAAUCAACCCACAACUCAUAGGUGAAACCAGGCUACUUAAUAAUCAACCCACAACUCAUAGGUGAAACCAGGCUACUUAAUAAUCAACCCACAACUCAUAGGUGAAACCAGGCUACUUAAUAUUCAACCCACAACUCAUAGGUGAAACCAGGCUACUUAAUAAUCAACCCACAACUCAUAGGUGAAACCAGGCUACUUAAUAUUCAACCCACAACUCAUAGGUGAAACCAGGCUACUUAAUAUUCAACCCACAACUCAUAGGUGAAACCAGGCUACUUAAUAAUCAACCCACAACUCAUAGGUGAAACCAGGCUACUUAAUAUUCAACCCACAACUCAUAGGUGAAACCAGGCUACUUAAUAUUCAACCCACAACUCAUAGGUGAAACCAGGCUACUUAAUAAUCAACCCACAACUCAUAGGUGAAACCAGGCUACUUAAUAUUCAACCCACAACUCAUAGGUGAAACCAGGCUACUUAAUAUUCAACCCACAACUCAUAGGUGAAACCAGGCUACUUAAUAUUCAACCCACAACUCAUAGGUGAAACCAGGCUACUUAAUAUUCAACCCACAACUCAUAGGUGAAACCAGGCUACUUAAUAAUCAACCCACAACUCAUAGGUGAAACCAGGCUACUUAAUAAUCAACCCACAACUCAUAGGUGAAACCAGGCUACUUAAUAUUCAACCCACAACUCAUAGGUGAAACCAGGCUACUUAAUAUUCAACCCACAACUCAUAGGUGAAACCAGGCUACUUAAUAAUCAACCCACAACUCAUAGGUGAAACCAGGCUACUUAAUAUUCAACCCACAACUCAUAGGUGAAACCAGGCUACUUAAUAAUCAACCCACAACUCAUAGGUGAAACCAGGCUACUUAAUAUUCAACCCACAACUCAUAGGUGAAACCAGGCUACUUAAUAAUCAACCCACAACUCAUAGGUGAAACCAGGCUACUUAAUAUUCAACCCACAACUCAUAGGUGAAACCAGGCUACUUAAUAUUCAACCCACAACUCAUAGGUGAAACCAGGCUACUUAAUAUUCAACCCACAACUCAUAGGUGAAACCAGGCUACUUAAUAAUCAACCCACAACUCAUAGGUGAAACCAGGCUACUUAAUAAUCAACCCACAACUCAUAGGUGAAACCAGGCUACUUAAUAUUCAACCCACAACUCAUAGGUGAAACCAGGCUACUUAAUAAUCAACCCACAACUCAUAGGUGAAACCAGGCUACUUAAUAAUCAACCCACAACUCAUAGGUGAAACCAGGCUACUUAAUAUUCAACCCACAACUCAUAGGUGAAACCAGGCUACUUAAUAAUCAACCCACAACUCAUAGGUGAAACCAGGCUACUUAAUAUUCAACCCACAACUCAUAGGUGAAACCAGGCUACUUAAUAAUCAACCCACAACUCAUAGGUGAAACCAGGCUACUUAAUAUUCAACCCACAACUCAUAGGUGAAACCAGGCUACUUAAUAUUCAACCCACAACUCAUAGGUGAAACCAGGCUACUUAAUAAUCAACCCACAACUCAUAGGUGAAACCAGGCUACUUAAUAUUCAACCCACAACUCAUAGGUGAAACCAGGCUACUUAAUAUUCAACCCACAACUCAUAGGUGAAACCAGGCUACUUAAUAUUCAACCCACA